rnacentral:rRNA from 1 species
CUUCCGGGGGGGGGGGGGGGGUCGGUGAGGAUCUGCCCCCAGGAUGGGGACAACGACUGGAAACGGUCGCUAAUACCCAAUGUGCCGAGAGGUGAAAGAUUUAUCGCCUGGGGAUGAGCUCGCGUCCGAUUAGCUAGUUGGUGGGGUAAGGGCCCACCAAGGCGACGAUCGGUAGCUGGUUUGAGAGGAUGAUCAGCCACACUGGGACUGAGACACGGCCCAGACUCCUACGGGAGGCAGCAGUGGGGAAUUUUCCGCAAUGGGCGCAAGCCUGACGGAGCAAGACCGCGUGCGGGAAGACGGCCUGUGGGUUGUAAACCGCUUUUCUCAGGGAAGAAUACUGACGGUACCUGAGGAAUCAGCCUCGGCUAACUCCGUGCCAGCAGCCGCGGUAAUACGGGGGAGGCAAGCGUUAUCCGGAAUCAUUGGGCGUAAAGCGUUCGCAGGUGGCUAAUCAAGUCUGCUGUCAAAGCGUGGGGCUUAACUCCAUAGGGGCAGUGGAAACUGAUGAGCUAGAGUGCGGCAGGGGCAAGGGGAAUUCCCAGUGUAGCGGUGAAAUGCGUAGAUAUUGGGAAGAACACCGGUGGCGAAAGCGCCUUGCUGGGCCUGCACUGACACUGA